GCUAAGUCCAAGUGGGAAAUCACGAGGAGAGUGCAAGUCCAGUGAGGGCGGCAACAGCCAUGAGGACGCCAUCGUCUUCUCCAGCCACCGUAACCCCAAACUCCGCCAUAGUUACUGGUACCCAGCAGGCCUCCAUUAAUGUUGAAUGAAUGAAUGACGGCGUGGCAGUGAUGGUCUCAGGGCUACAAUUCCCUUCCCACUCUCCUCUGCCUGUGAAACCCUAGCUAUUCUAAUUCAACAUAUGUGAAUGGAAUAAACAUCUCCCUUAUCUCUACAGUUUGUAAUGGAAUAGGAAUUGGUGAAUUUAAAGACACACUUUCCAUAAAUGCUACAAAUAUUAAACACUUCAAAAAUUGCACCUCAAUCAGUGGAGAUCUUCAUAUCCUGCCAGUAGCAUUUAGAGGUGACUCCUUCACACGUACUCUACCUCUGGAUCCAAAGGAACUGGAUAUUCUAAAAACUGUAAAGGAAAUAACAGGGUUUUUGCUGAUUCAGGCCUGGCCCGAGAACAGGACUGACCUCCAUGCUUUCGAGAACCUAGAAAUCAUACGUGGAAGAACAAAGCAACAGUAAGUUGACCUUACCCAAAGCCUGGUAGAUUAUUUGUUUAUCUAUUUUCAAAAUAAGACCCAACGAAGAGUUUGAAAGUAGACUUAUACAGCUGUUACGAAGAUGCCCCAGAGAGCUAUCAGGUAUCCUCCAGCCAGCUCCCACCACUG